rnacentral:misc_RNA from 1 species
UGCAACAACUUUGAUAGGGGCAACAGCUCGAGGUAUUUCCGAUGUAUCGUUCGUAGGUCGCGUGGUAGGAAGAGGAGGACGGAGGAACGAAACCGGGAAAAAGAGUAGUUUUAAUUUCUUCAGCAGCUCGCGGUCUGGCAUCCGUUCGUUCUACACGUGAAAAACCGUGUAAAGGCGGAACACAGCUGAAGGGGAACGGUGAACUGGAAGAAAAGUUACGUGGUAACAUGGCUCCUCGCUCGAAAGUCUGCCGCGUAGAGAGGUUCUUCGGUUGGGAACGAUAAAUGUCGCCCGUACGGCGAUUAUUCUGCCAAUUGCGAACACGGAGCAACCGUUGUAGCGUUGUAUCGAAGAACGAAUGGAAAGGAAUAAAAGAGAGAUUGCAAGAUAUACAAUGGAGAAGGGUCGCACAGAAAGCAUCCACGUGAGCCACGAACAAGUCACGAGAUACGCGAUGACCAGCCAAUAAGAUUCCACUACUAUAUUAAACCUUUUAGGAGCCGCUUAAGUCGCGCAUAGAGUGACAAGCACCUGCCCUCGUACGACUGGAUAUACGAGGGGACGUCAGGCUCGUUCUCCUUUAUAUUCAAGCUGCUUUUUUCAUUCGACUAACUCGUAACCUGCAGCAUUCGCAUAUUCAAAAAGUAGAAUAGGCUGUUACCUGUACUACUUUUAACGGCUCGCUGAAACACCGCUACCAAAGUAGAACAAAUUUUUACUGCAAUCCGUUACUUAUAGUUGAAUAGCAAAUUUAAUCCGCAUGACAAACAUCAAACGAUUGCAUUUCGAACCUUUAUUCUACUGCUCGAAAAUUCUCUGUGAAUUAACCCAGUAUAGGAUAUGAAUACAGGCACGUAUGUAUUUACUGUGUAGUAAAUCAUUUCAUUAAUCGAUGACAUAUCAUUCCAAAUGGAUGGCUUCUUAAUUUUAACGUUGACUGCACUAGCUCUCUGUGACGUGUUUGACGAAUACAAAACCUAUACGAAUAAACGGCACAGCAGUAGUGAAUAAUAUAGCAUCAAAUUCCAAUCAGAGAAGGUAUUCGAAAUGAAAAACACACUGAAUAGCAACUACAUAUUUUGAUUCUAUCAUAUGAAAAACAAUUGGAAUGCGAAUUCAUUUUUCGCUUAUCGUGACUAUAAAUUUUACAAGAAAAAUAUAGUAUCAAUUAUUAUAAACAGUAUUCGUCUCGCUUACUGAGCGGACGUUUCAUUAUUUUAAAAAGCUACAUACGUUUCGGAAAAUUUUUAUUCUCGAAGAUCGAUCACCUUCCUUAUGGCAAUUUUAAAUAGAAUAAAAUUAAUGAUAUCUUAAUUGGGAUAGAAAAUUGAUU